GGGGCUCACCUCUUCCCAUCCCGAACAGAGUAGUUAAGCCCGCCUGCGCAGAUGGUACUGCAGUUUUGUGGGAGAGUAUGUCGUCGCCUUUC
rnacentral:rRNA from 1 species